AACGAACGCUGGCGGCAGGCCUAACACAUGCAAGUCGAGCGCCCUUUCGGGGGAGCGGCGGAAGGGUGAGUAACGCGUGGGAAUAUGCCCUUCUCUACGGAAUAGCCUCGGGAAACUGAGAGUAAUACCGUAUACGCCCAUUGGGGGAAAGAUUUAUCGGGGAAGGAUUAGCCCGCGUUGGAUUAGGUAGUUGGUGGGGUAAUGGCCUACCAAGCCGACGAUCCAUAGCUGGGUUGAGAGGAUGAUCAGCCACACUGGGACUGAGACACGGCCCAGACUCCUGCGGGAGGCAGCAGUGGGGAAUCUUAGACAAUGGGGGCAACCCUGAUCUAGCCAUGCCGCGUGAGUGAUGAAGGCCUUAGGGUUGUAAAGCUCUUUCAGCUGGGAAGAUAAUGACGGUACCAGCAGAAGAAGCCCCGGCUAACUCCGUG
rnacentral:rRNA from 1 species